rnacentral:rRNA from 1 species
AGAGUUGAUCCUGGCUUAGGAUGAACGCUGGCGGCGUGCCUAAUACAUGCAAGUCGAGCGAGAAAUCUUCAGACGAUUCUUCGGAUGAGUCAGAGAGAUGGAAAGCGGCGGACGGGUGAGUAACGCGUAGGCAACCUGCCCUCAGCAGAGGGAUAGCCAUUGGAAACGGUGAUUAAAACCUCAUAAUGCUGUUUUAACACAUGUUGAGACAGCCAAAGAUUUAUCGGCUGGGGAUGGGCCUGCGUCUGAUUAACUGGUUGGUGAGGUAACGGCUCACCAAGGUGACGAUCAGUAGCCGACCUGAGAGGGUGAUCGGCCACAUUGGAACUGAGACACGGUCCAAACUUCUACGGAAGGCAGCAGUAAGGAAUCUUGCACAAUGGGGGAAACCCUGAAUGCAGCAACGCCGCGUGAACGAUGAAGGCCUUAGGGUUGUAAAGUUCUGAUCUGUGGGAAGAAGGAAGUGACGGUACCACAGGAGAAAGCCCCGGCUAAAUACGUGCCAGCCGCGGC